GAACGCUGGCGGCAUGCCUCAAUACAUCUCAAGUCGAACGAGAUCUUCGGGCAUCUAGUGGCGCACGGGUGCGUAACGCGUGGGAAUCUGCCUUGGGUUCGGAAUAACUUCUGGAAACGGAAGCUAAUACCGGAUGAUGACGUAAGUCCAAAGAUUUAUCGCCCAAGGAUGAGCCCGCGUAGGAUUAGGUAGUUGGUGAGGUAAAGGCUCACCAAGCCGACGAUCCUUAGCUGGUCUGAGAGGAUGAUCAGCCACACUGGGACUGAGACACGGCCCAGACUCCUACGGGAGGCAGCAGUAGGGAAUAUUGGACAAUGGGCGAAAGCCUGAUCCAGCAACGCCGCGUGAGUGAUGAAGGCCUUAGGGUUGUAAAGCUCUUUUACCCGGGAUGAUAAUGACAGUACCGGGAGAAUAAGCUCCGGCUAACUCCGUGCCAGCAGCCGCGGUAAUACGGAGGGAGCUAGCGUUGUUCGGAAUUACUGGGCGUAAAGCGCACGUAGGCGGCUAUUCAAGUCAGAGGUGAAAGCCCGGGGCUCAACCCCGGAACUGCCUUUGAAACUAGAUAGCUUGAAUCCAGGAGAG
rnacentral:rRNA from 1 species